GUCUACAGCCAUGCCACCCUGAACAAGCCUGGCCCCGUCUACUAAGCAGGGUCUGGCCUGGUUAGUACUUGAAUGGGAGACCACCUAGGAAGACCAGGUGCCGUAGGUG
rnacentral:rRNA from 1 species